GUAGGUGGCAAGCGUUGUCCGGAAUUAUUGGGCGUAAAGCGCGCGCAGGUGGUUCUUUAAGUCUGAUGUGAAAGCCCCCGGCUCAACCGGGGAGGGUCAUUGGAAACUGGGGAACUUGAGUGCAGGAGAGGAAAGUGGAAUUCCACGUGUAGCGGUGAAAUGCGUAGAUAUGUGGAGGAACACCAGUGGCGAAGGCGACUUUCUGGCCUGUAACUGACACUGAGGCGCGAAAGCGUGGGGAGCAAACAGGGAUUAGAUACCCUGGUAGUCCACGCCGUAAACGAUGAGUGCUAAGUGUUGGGGGGGUUUCCGCCCCCUCAGUGCUGCAGCUAACGCAUUAAGCACUCCGCCUGGGAGUACGGCCGCAAGACUG
rnacentral:rRNA from 1 species